GUGAUAUCUUUUUAGGUUUAUAUUGAUGGUGUUGUCCAGAAAGUUGAGGCAUUAAUCGAGAUAAAGGAAAACAUUCAUCUAUUUUCAUCUUCUAGGUUAAAGGACUUUAACAUAAUACAUGACCAUGACCAGAAGUGCACCUCGAUGGAAUACUUUCAUUUCAUAAUCAGACGGUUAAACUAUAUGGUGUUUGUCAUCAAAAUGUCAAAGAAAAGGAUAAUUGAAAAUGUAGUCUAAUUUCAUUGAAGAUAUCCUCAGAAGUUUUGAAGGGUAUGUUGGGUGCCAUAUGAUGAACCAUCGUAAAAGUACUCACGAGAAUUGAAAUCAUAGAGCCACCUAAAUCAGAAUUCAAAAUAGACAUACAAAUCAAGAAGUUGUUUAAAAAAGCCAUAGAAAUUAUAAAAUAUGGUUAUUUUCGGAGCAAAACGAUUAGUUGUAAUGGCAUACCUGUAAACUACAGACAUCCAAGGUCUAAUAGGGCUGUAGCCUAAUAUAACUGCCUUCCUCAGAGUAGGGACUGAAUCAAAUGUCUUCGUGCAACCUGGAAUAGAGAAAAAUGUGAAAGUUAUAGUUUUUAUAUAUAGAUGUAAAAAUGAGUAUAAAAUACAACAAUCUAAUUUCUACUAUUCGUUUUUCUAAGGGUGAAAGUGAUA
rnacentral:lncRNA from 1 species